GAUGAACGCUGGCGGCGUGCCUAAUACAUGCAAGUCGAGCGAACGGACGAGAAGCUUGCUUCUCUGAUGUUAGCGGCGGACGGGUGAGUAACACGUGGAUAACCUACCUAUAAGACUGGGAUAACUUCGGGAAACCGGAGCUAAUACCGUAUAAUAUUUUGAACCGCAUGGUUCAAAAGUGAAAGACGGUCUUGCUGUCACUUAUAGAUGGAUCCGGGCUGCAUUAGCUAGUUGGUAAGGUAACGGCUUACCAAGGCAACGAUGCAUAGCCGACCUGAGAGGGUGGUCGGCCACACUGGAACUGAGACACGGUCCAGACUCCUGCGGGAGGCAGCAGUAGGGAAUCUUCCGCAAUGGGCGAAAGCCUGACGGAGCGACGCCGCGUGAGUGAUGAAGGUCUUCGGAUCGUAAAACUCUGUUAUUAGGGAAGAACAUAUGUGUAAGUAAUUGUGCACAUCUUGACGGUACCUAAUCAGAAAGCCACGGCUAACUACGUG
rnacentral:rRNA from 1 species